UACGGAGGGUGCAAGCGUUAUCCGGAUUUAUUGGGUUUAAAGGGUCCGCAGGCGGACUAAUAAGUCAGUGGUGAAAUCUCUCGGCUCAACCGAGAAACUGCCAUUGAUACUGUUAGUCUAGAGUGUAGUUGGCGUAGGCGGAAUGUAUCAUGUAGCGGUGAAAUGCUUAGAUAUGAUACAGAACACCGAUCGCGAAGGCAGCUUACGAAACUACAACUGACGCUCAGGGACGAAAGCGUGGGGAGCGAACAGGAUUAGAUACCCUGGUAGUCCACGCUGUAAACGAUGAUUACUCGUUGUCGGCGAUAUACUGUCGGUGGCUAAGCGAAAGUGAUAAGUAAUCCACCUGGGGAGUACGAUCGCAAGGUUGAAACUCAAAGGAAUUGACGGGGGCCCGCACAAGCGGAGGAGCAUGUGGUUUAAUUCGAUGAUACGCGAGGAACCUUACCUGGGCUUAAAUGCUUAAUGACGUACUGGGAAACUGGUAUUUCUUCGGACAUUUUGCAAGGUGCUGCAUGGUUGUCGUCAGCUCGUGCCGUGAGGUGUCGGGUUAAGUCCCAUAACGAGCGCAACCCCUAUUGUUAGUUGCCAUCAGGUAAUGCUGGGGACUCUAACAAAACUGCCCGCGUAAGCGUGGAGGAAGGUGGGGAUGACGUCAAAUCAGCACGGCCCUUACGUCCAGGGCUACACACGUGCUACAAUGGCCGGUACAGAGGGCAGCCACUUGGUGACAAGGAGCAAAUCUCAAAAGCCGGUCUCAGUUCGGAUCGGAGUCUGCAACUCGACUCCGUGAGGUUGGAUUCGCUAGUAAUCGUAGAUCAGCAAUGCUACGGUGAAUACGUUCCCGGGCCU
rnacentral:rRNA from 1 species